rnacentral:rRNA from 1 species
CCUACGGGGGGCAGCAGUGAGGAAUAUUGGUCAAUGGUCGGGAGACUGAACCAGCCAAGCCGCGUGAGGGAUGAAGGUACAGAGUAUCGUAAACCUCUUUUGUCAGGGAACAAAGGCGGGGACGUGUCCCCGGAUGAGUGUACCUGAAGAAAAAGCAUCGGCUAACUCCGUGCCAGCAGCCGCGGUAAUACGGAGGAUGCGAGCGUUAUCCGGAUUUAUUGGGUUAAAAGGGUGCGCAGGCGGUCUGUUAAGUCAGCGGUAAAAGCCCGGGGCUCAACCCCGGCCCGCCGUUGAAACUGGCAGUCUCGAGUUGGAGAGAAGUAGGCGGAAUGCGCGGUGUAGCGGUGAAAUGCAUAGAGAUCGCGCAGAACUCCGAUUGCGAAGGCAGCAUGCCGGCUCCACACUGACGCUGAGGCACGAAAGCGUGGGUAUCGAACAGGAUUAGAUACCCCUGUAGUC